GAUAGCUCAAUGGUAGAGCAUUCGGCUGUUAACCGAAGGGUUGCUGGUUCGAGUCCAGCUC
rnacentral:tRNA from 1 species